AGUGAACGCUGGCGGUAGGCCUAACACAUGCAAGUCGAACGGCAGCACAGUAAGAGCUUGCUCUUACGGGUGGCGAGUGGCGGACGGGUGAGGAAUACAUCGGAAUCUACUUUUUCGUGGGGGAUAACGUAGGGAAACUUACGCUAAUACCGCAUACGACCUACGGGUGAAAGCAGGGGAUCUUCGGACCUUGCGCGAUUGAAUGAGCCGAUGUCGGAUUAGCUAGUUGGCGGGGUAAAGGCCCACCAAGGCGACGAUCCGUAGCUGGUCUGAGAGGAUGAUAGGCGACACUGGAAGUUAGACACGGUCCAUACUCCUACGGGAGGCAGCAGUGGGGAAUAUUGGACAAUGGGCGCAAGCCUUAUCCAGCCAUACCGCGUGGGUUAAGAAGGCCUUCGGGUUGGAAAGCCCUUUUGUUGGGAAAGAAAAGCAGCAGGUUAAUACCCCGCUGUUCUGACGGUACCCAAAGAAUAAGCACCGGCUAACUUCGUG
rnacentral:rRNA from 1 species